UCGAAUCGACUCAGUUCAUUUAUCCCUUUACUACCAACUCUUUUACAAAAAGAAAAUCAGAAAGAUAGAGGAAUAUAUCUGUGUGCUUCACACGCGGUUCGGGAAGACGGGAACAGUCCACGAAGGUUCUGGACAAGUAGUACAAGCAUCCUGUCCAGCUUCUUGUGACUGACACACUUGUUUCCAACUUAUGGGCGAGUAAUGUUAAAGAAUAAAGACUUCACUUUGCUGUUUUGUCUCUUAAGUACGUAAUAUAUGUAUCUAUUGUAAUAGCUAGCUAGUUUAUAUUCCUUGUUCCACAAAACAGCCUCUUUUUUCUUUGGCC
rnacentral:lncRNA from 1 species